GGCUGGGUAGCUCAGCUGGUUAGAGCAUUGUUCUGAUACACUAAGUUUGCGGGUUCAAUUCCCGGUCAGGGCA
rfam:Myotis lucifugus cont2.9397, whole genome shotgun sequence.